GCGUCGUUGCUGCCGACUACAGCCACUAAGCUCUGAUCAAGGUUUAAUUUUUUUAAUUUUGUUGUUAAUUUUGAUGAGGAAUAUGAAUUGGGUAGGAUUAGAGUUUUGAUGAAUGAUUUGGAUUGAUUAGGGUUUAUGAUUUUAGAUCUGAAAAUUUUUAGUUUUUAUUUUAUGAAAUAUGAUGAAUAAUGUGAUUUUAUAGUUAGGGUUUAGCCAUUAUUUACAUAUGAUGAAUAAUGAUUAGGGGUUUAGCCAUUAUUUGGGAUUGAUUUGUGUAUUAAAUUUAUUUACAUAUGAUGAAUAAUGAUGAAUAAUAUUUUCAGUUAUAAUAGAUUAUUUACAUAUGAUGGAUUGUUGAUUUUCAGUUUCAAUGGCUAACUCUAUACCCAUUAUUUGCUUCUUCAAUGGGAGUCUCGACAUCGGAGUGAAUAAUUUGCCUAUGUAUGAUGGAGGUUCUAGGAAAAUGUUCAUGCUAUCUAAGUCGUGUAAUUUUGAUGGAAUGACUAAGGAAAUACACAGAUUUACUAAAGUUUGCAGGUAUCAGCAAUAGAUGAAGUUCAAACUCUUACAAAUCGUGGCUUGGAAUUGGCUCGAGCAGGUAGAAACCCAGAAGCACAUGAACAUGUAUCAAUAUAUCAGUCCAUAAUGCAGAGGCUUCACCAAGCCUUACACCGAACUCACGAAGAUCGUCAUGAUAGACGAGAGGUAACGCCAUUCGUAUACACACGACAACAGCGACAAAGUCGAGGACGACGAAAUGACGAUGAAGUUGGACCUUUCCAACAUGUUGAUGGAGCUGGAUCGUCACAACCACAAACGCAACCGGAUCACGAACUCGUCGAAGGGCGGUAUGGAGGACGACGAAGACAAAGGAGGAGGAGGAGAGUUCUUGGAUGUAUGUAAACUACAGGUUAUAUACGUUACAAAACUAUUUAGGGAUGUGACAUGGUUUUUGAAUUUAUAGUCGAGACUAUGGUGUGAUUUGUUGGAUUUUUAAGUGGGUUUGUGGUGUUAUUAUGUUGGAUUUGUUAGUGGGAGUUUGUGGUGUGAUUUGUUUGAUUUGAAAUGAGUAUAUGGUGAAAUUCAUGA